rnacentral:lncRNA from 10 species
CUUCCGGGUUCAAGCGAGUCUCCUACCUUAGCCUCCCCAUAGCUGGGACUAGAGGUGCAUGCCUGGUUAAUUUUUUAUGUUUUGUUUUGUUUUGUUUAUUGCUUUUUUCUUUUUGUAGAGACAGGGUUUCACCAUGUUGGCCAGGCUGGUCCCAACUCCUGGGCUCAAAUGAUCUGUCUGCCUUGGCCUCCCAAAAUGCUUGGAUUAUAGGCAUGAGCCACCGGGCCCAGACGUUUAGCUGAAUAUUUUAAAGCGAUGCAGUUGAAAUGGUGCUAAGCCCUUGAGAGUCAGAGCAAAAAGAGACAACUAGACCAUAAGCUUCAGUGAAGGUACGUGGCAUGAUUUCUUUCUGAUUAUUUUCCUUCUUGUAUUAAGCCAUGCACUGCUCAGUCAAUAAUUAAUAGCUAUGACCUGUAAUCCUGAAGCCAAACCACAUUAAACUUUUAUUCCAUAUUACUCAGGACCUGCAAAUUUCAGGAGGAAAUGUAGAUGGUAACUAGGAUUAUGGAGAAAACAAAAUGACCUAUGGCUGUGAGUAUGUACUAUCACAUUGGUAAGGCAUUCCAUCACAGUUGAACAAAGAUGAUUAAAGCUGUCCUAAAAGGAGUUAUGCUUACCCUUGUUCUAUUUUUUAGAUCUAAUAGCCAAGCCUGAAUAUACGGAGUUUCAAUGUCUCUGAACCACUGUUAAUCAGGUUUCCUUUUAAUUUUCUCCUAAGACACUACUUAAAAUUCUUCGGUACCUUCGGUUGCUCAGGCUUCAUCUUUCCCAUUUUUUAGGUAUUUUCCCCAAAACAACAGUGGGACAUAAAAAGAAAAGAAAAACAAUUCAAUCCUCCUCUCCUAAAAAGUACAGCUUCCCCAGUUUGUUGUGGUUGUCGUUGCUGCUGUUGUUAUGACUGUCCUGUCUUUUGUGUAACUUGAAUAGUUCUUGCUUUUAAAAAUGUUUAUCCAGGGCCCUACAUACUUCCCAUGGCUCCCUGCUGAUAAAGCUUCAGUGUAAUUAAAGUAUUUAUAAGAACACUGAGGAAUUCAACUCGCAUUAUUUAGACACACAAAAGAAAAUUCUUCGCAUUUCCAAGUCACAAUUGUGUAAUCAGAUGACAUAGUGUCAGUUGGUUUAAGAAUACCUUUACACUCAGAAAAAAAAAAUGUAAAAUUGCUAUGUUUUCUCUUUCAAUUAUAUGGCAUUUGUUGGUGAAAUUUACUUUACUGGAUUGUACUUCAACUUGUAUUGAAUGUUUUAAACUAUGUAGUCUAAAAUAGUCUUGCUGGACUAUAUUUGUUUGUUUAAUUAACCCUGGAAAAUGAACGCCAAUGGACAGGGGGACGCGAACUCAUCACCAUUCAAUUAGGCCUAAAGGCAAGCUUUUUUUUUUUUUUGCUUUGCCUUUAAAUGUCUUGCCCCUUGACACAUCCUUAUUAUGGAAAUAAAUGUAACAUUGAAUAAGCUAAUGCCAUGCUUUUGGAAUGAUGACAUGAAGGGGAAGAAUUACAGCACACUGGGAAUUUUGGUAGGAAUUGAUUUACAAAAGAAGUUGCCACAUUUGUUUUUAUUGUGGUUAAAGCUCUAGUUUGGGAAAAGACAAAAGGGCAAGGAAUUGGGGAGUUUCUGGAUGAAUGUGGAUCUAAUGAAGACAGACCAUUGGUUCCACAGGCCAGGGUAAGAUUCCCACAGUUCUGAACAAACAGUUCUCAGCCAAUAAUUUCUAAGCCUUUGUUUCCCCACUUUGGAAUUCUGACUACAGGCAUGUUACCAAGCCAACUGGGUUCACUACAAAGACCCAGAGAACGCUUUUUAUCACAAAGAUCAAGACAACAAUUGUGUGCCUACAAGAAAAGAACAACUAAAACCAUCCAACAAGCAUUAAAAGAACAAUUCUAGAGAUAGUUGCCUUUGAACUCCAAUAAUGGGUAACAUUCAGUCCCGAGAUUUGAAUUCCAAGUUAAAAGAAUUCAUUAUCAGUUGCCUUAUCUUAUAGUUAUAAGAGCUGCUGGCAGCAAGUAUUUUCAGCAGCAUUAUUUUUGUCCAAUGUAAUAUUUUACAGUGAUGUCAAAUCUCAUACAAUAACCAUAUUGUAAAUUGACUUUAUAGACUUCGUUUUGUUUAUUAUAGAGUUCAUCUAUGAAACAGAAGAAAUCUAAAUUUUGCCUUGGCUUCACCCCAAACUACAAAAAGUACUGUUUUACAAGAGCUUAUUCUGAAAUAUCACUUCCUGAACGUAGAAGUAUGCUAUUUGCACAGAUACAUUCCAUAGACAUACACAAUGUCCAGCUGAGAAAAUAAAGGAUAGUCCAUCUGGAUGUUUCUUUCUUUCUCCUAACUGUGACCUCCUGCUCCAGAGAGGACACCAGCAUCUUUUGCUACUGAGGUAUCAAACAACCAUUCCUGCUGGGGAACCUCAGGGAGGGAGAACCAGAUGUAUAUUCUUCUCCCUCCCAAGAAGCAGCCACUGUUGAGCCACUUCAGGAACAGAGCUGUCACCUCUCUCAACCCCACCAGGCCCAGAGAAACAUUUCUAAUAUCCAAAGGGGAAAUUUCAUGACGGAAAAAGUCUUACUGUGGAUUUCCAACUCUAGAACUAUGAUUCAUUUUUAAUAUACAAAAGAGAAGACCUCAAUGAAAUUGUUCUCUAAUAUGUUCUUUGGGUUUCUCCCAAUCCCUCGCCUAUCACGAAAGAUCAUGGUGAAAACAUCUGAGAAAAACUACUAUAUAUUAUCCCCUUUUGUCUUCUGGAGAGCUCUAUGAUGUAAUUGUGUUCAUGCCAAUUUACAGGUAAGUAAAGAAGCACUGAGAAGUUAACUUCCAUCAUUGUGGAGAGAAAAAGUUUUAAAGAACAUUCUUAUUUCCGGGAAGAAUCUCCUUUUACCCCCUGCAAACUCAACUAUUUAUAACACAUUAUCAAUAUCCUAUGUGAGAUUUAAGAGUGUUCUGGAAAAAAUGUAUGUGAACAAGGAUUGCUGUAUAUCAAGUGUAUAAAAUAGGGAUAGAAUUAUAUUCAUUCUCAACCUACUUUCUCUUAACCAACUUUCCUAUUAAUCAAUGUUCUUUCUUCUCCCUAUAAAACGUUACAUAUUUGCUUUCUGUAAAGUAUAAUGAAAAUCCAUGGUGGUUUUCAGAGUGAUCCCUGGGCCAGCAGCAUCAGCAUCAUCUGAAAACUUGUGAGAAAUGCAAAUUCUCAGGCCCCACUCCAGAUCUAUUGAACCUAAAACUCUGGGGAUGAAGCUAAGAAAUCCAGAUGCCAACAUUUGAGAAUCACUUAUCUGGAAAGAUUCUACUUGCACAUUGUCUAUACACUCUCACCUCACUUGAAAGAAACAAAAACUGCAAACUAUAGACCAUUAAUUUGUAAGUAUGUGCAAGAAAAACUAUGCUGUAUUUCUCAAUAGGUUGAAUAGCCCUUAUCCCUUCAUAAAAAGAUUGAUGGAUGGAUGUGUAAUGUAUAUAUAUAUCAUUUUUCACGUUUUCCUACCUUGGCAAUAUUUUUGACUAACUGACCACUGCCAGGGCUCUCCCUAGAUAAAAGUAGACAAUAGAGAGGCGAUAGAUGGUAGGUAGAUCAAUAGGCAGGUAGGUAGAUAGAUAGAUUGAUAGAACUGUGUGUGUGUGUGUGUGUGUGUGUGUGUGUGUGUGAAGUAAGGGUAUGAGCACACCUCUGAAAAAUCCCUUAAGAUGCACAGAGAGGGCAUUCACUUUUUAAAAUGUCUAUAUUUGAGGUAUAUCUUGGGAAAUGAAAUAAAGAAAUGUGAUGUUGAGAACUAAGAAAAAACAACCUGCCAAUUUGGGGGCCUCAGGGUACAGAGGAGCUGGGAGAGCUGCCCCAUGAGGUACUAGAAAGAGGCAGAACUCCCACCUGCCCGAAGAGAUAGCCCCUAUGCCUUGCCCCUUAGGCCACCUCCUGGCUAUUUCUACUUGGAAUCAGGACUAUACCUAGUUGACUGAAGACAAGCUUUGAGCAGACUAGUCUAGAUGACAACUUGUAUUAGUCCAUUCUCAUGCUGCUAUAAAGAGCAGCCUGAGACUGGGUAAUUUAUAAGGGAAAGAGGUUUAAUUGACUCACAGUUUCACAUAGCUGGAGAGGCCUCAGGAAACUGACAAUCAUAGUGCAAGGGAAAGUAGGCACAUCCUUCUUCACAUAGCGGCAGGUGAGACAGAAGUUCCGAGCAAAGGGGGAAAGCCCCUCAUAAGACCAUCAGAUCUCGUGAGAAUUCACUCAGUAUCAUAAGAACAGCAUGGGGGUAACCACCCCCAUGAUCCAAUCACCUCCCACCAGGUCCCUCCCAUGACACAUAGGGAUUAUGGGAACUACAAUUCAAGAUGAGAUUUGGGUAGGGACACAACCAAACCAUAUCACAACUGCUCCAUGGACACUUCCAUCUGAGGGUACUUUAGAGACUGUCCUUGCUGGCUUCGCCCAGGCGUGCCAAGCAUGUGGGUGGGAUUUUUUUCCCUUGUCAAUGCCUAGUGAGAUGCCACCACAACUCGUGUGAAUCCCCUGGAGACCCUCCAUCACCAUCACCAUCCCUUCUCUAUGUCUGCAAGAAAAACAAAAGGAGAUGUGAGUAGUAGUGCCCCUCAAGGAAUCACAAGCCUCUCUGUGUGUGUCUCUUCUCUCCCUCUC